GACGAACGCUGGCGGCGUGCUUAACACAUGCAAGUCGAGCGGAAAGGCCACUUCGGUGGUACUCGAGCGGCGAACGGGUGAGUAACACGUGAGUAAUCUGCCCCUCACUUUGGGAUAGCCACCGGAAACGGUGAUCAAUACCGGAUAUGACCAUAUGUCGCAUGGCGUGUGGUGGAAAGUUUUUCGGUGUGGGAUGUGCUCGCGGCCUAUCAGCUUGAUGGUGAGGUAAUGGCUCACCAUGGCUUCGACGGGUAGCCGGCCUGAGAGGGUGACCGGUCACAAUGGGACUGAGACACGGAGCAGAAUCCUACGGGAGGCAGCAGUGGGGAAUAUUGCACAAUGGGCGGAAGCCUGAUCCAGCAACGCCGCGUGAGGGAUGACGGCCUUCGGGUUGUAAACCUCUUUCGGUACAGACGAAGCGCAAGUGACGGUAGGUACAGAAGAAGCACCGGCCAACUACGUG
rnacentral:rRNA from 1 species